rnacentral:rRNA from 1 species
UACGGAGGGGGCUAGCGUUGUUCGGAAUUACUGGGCGUAAAGCGCACGUAGGCGGCUAUUCAAGUCAGAGGUGAAAGCCCAGGGCUCAACCCCUGGAACUGCCUUUGAAACUAGAUAGCUAGAAUCUUGGAGAGGCGAGUGGAAUUCCGAGUGUAGAGGUGAAAUUCGUAGAUAUUCGGAAGAACACCAGUGGCGAAGGCGACUCGCUGGACAAGUAUUGACGCUGAGGUGCGAAAGCGUGGGGAGCAAACAGG